rnacentral:lncRNA from 1 species
CCGGAAGUGGGGAAAGGUCGGAUUGCAGCUAGAAUGGGAAAGUGGGCCCCUUCCAUCCCUGGAAGGUAACAGGAGUAGCAAUGGAACGCCUGUGUCCCAACUUCUCUCCUAGGGGAGAAAUUCCAGGUCGGGGCUGAGAGAGAGCUGACAACAGGGCUGUGUAGGUGCAGGUUUCCGUGAGGUUUGCGCCCAAGGUGAGGCGCCCCGGGGGUGCGCGCAGGCUAGGAGCGGUGAGCACCGGGAGCGCGCGGUACAUGGAGCGAGCAGGGGGGAGCUCCGGGCAUCGGGAGCGCGCAGGCGGGGAGCGCGGGGCAUCGGGAGCACGCAGGCGGGGAGCCGUGAGCACCGGGAGCCUCGGUACCUGGAGCGCGCAGGCUGGAAGCAAGGGGUACAUGGAGCGCGCAGGCGGGGAGCGCGGGGCGCCGGGAGCGCGCAGGCGGGGAGCGCGGGGCAGCCUGGCUGGAGCUCCCCCAGGAGCCGGAGCACGAGGACCGCGCGCCCCCACGGAGCCCUGACUCGACCGAGGAUGGGCGAGCGGUGCCGGGCAGAAGGGGCCAGGGACAGCACAAGGCGCCUGGCACAGACGCAAGACAGCGCUUUCCCUACCCAAACCAAACCGCAAACCCAGGAGCUCAACAUGGAGUCAGUCUGGACGAUGGAGCUCACCGGGCAUCUACAGGUGAAGAAAGGACCUCAGCUUUGUGUAAGACCGCAGGAGUUCUCCAUAAGGCAAUGCUGAGAAUUUCUCCUCUUUUUAAGAACCAGUGAUGAUCAGAGAAGGUCCUGAUGAGUGUUCCUCAUGACCAAAAUGGAAAUAGGAAUUUGCCUUCGUUGUUGCUUGCUCUCUCCUCUGCAGCCAUCCCAUCUGCAGCUAUUAAAGGUUGUCCUGAGAGGAGCUUGGAAAAUAUACAAUGAAAUGGUUAUAGGAAAUCGGAAUCGUACUUGGGAAUUCAGCUUGUGCUAGAUCCAAGGACAAGAGGGGAUCAGCAAGGACAUGGCCUCACCCACCUGGCUCACAAAAGAUGUUCUGAGCUGGUCCGCCAGGUGGGCUUUAUUUCCAUGCAAUGAGAUGGUGUCCUCUAAGACUGAACUGUGGCCACCUGAGAGUCACCACAUGUGACUCAAAGCAUCCUUCCAUUUCGGGAUUUUGAACACUUUUCUGUGCUUUUAUUGGCCAAGGGGAGCAGUAGUUCUGCAAGCUAAUAGAAAGGUCACACAUUUUGAAAUCAACCAGAAUUGAAAAGCUGUGCUUCUAAGCUCUGAUUCUCUUCAAUGGGAAGAAGUCGUGCCCCUCUUAUGGGGUCCAGGCAGUAGUCAUAAACUGCUCCAUCCAGUAAUGCUAGUGCUGGGCAAGUGGUCUGCACUGGACAGUAAUUGGCUGAUGGGUGCUGCUGGCCUACGUGCAGCCAGUGGGAGGCUGGGUUAGGUGUUCCAGUCGGGGCUUGGUGAAGAGACUUAGGGACAAGUUAAAGAAAACCCUAACAGAACAAGAGCGGUGGAAAGAAAGUCGGCGGUCAUUCCUAACAAAGAGCCAAUAACAGGAAAGCUGCUUCCCAGGAUGAAAAGGCUCUUCCAGAGAAACUUGGAGAUGAAUGGUAUGGAGAUAGACAGAGAACAGACUCCCCAAACAUGGAGCCACGGUGAAGUGUUGGGGACGCCACACAAGCGAUGAAGCGGGAGCUGAGGCCCCAUCAACGAAAGCAGCUGUUUUUUCUUGGUUGGAAGGAGCCUCAGCGCAGUCUGCUUCCGAAUCAGAUUUCUCUCUUUAACCCAGUGGCUCAGCAUUUCCCAGACAGCUUCUUGGCUAUCUCCAUCCCUGGUGUUAAAUGGGCCAUUUCCUGGGGGACUCAAGGUUCUCCCCUGACACCUCAGCACCUGAGACGUCUGUAAAGUGACAUGGAGGGAAGGUUGGAGAUCCUAGAGAAAGGAAAACCCUUGGGCAUAUAAUUAAGGAGUCAGGAAUCUGAGAAAGCAAACUGGAAGCUACCGGAAUUUCAUCUAAAAUGAGUAUUGGUAUUGAAGGCUUUAGGUUUUGGAGGAAGUGAGAGGAGGGGCAGAGUGUAAGUUUGAAGUGAAAAGACUAAAGAAUAAAAAUUUAAAAUACCAAGGAUGAGUAAGUUGC